CGGCACACUGAGCUUGCGAUAAGAUUGCAGCGAAAGCUGGCUGGUCUGGCAGGUCUGGAAGGGAGACAUCAAGCACAUGCCAGCGAUGGAAGUAGCGGGGAAAUGUAGCACCAAGAGUGAAUAAAUCAUCGCAUUGUCGAGUGACACCGGCCAAGGCAAUGGUACCUCGGCCUACGGAGGGAAGACUUUGUCUGCAGGUGCUACUUGUCUCUGGUGAAAACUCCAUUGUGCACAGUGUAUAAGAUUACAAUGGCCUGACUCUGGGUCUUCUCCCCAAAGCCAAGGGGGAAAGAGUCUGUGUUAGAGGUUUGAACCAAGUAAAGGAGAUAAGAUGUAAGACAAAAAUAAAAGAAGGGAUUUUUAGUUUA